GUGGGGCUACUACUUACUAGCAGCACUUCAGCGAUAUCAUUAACAAAACGCACGUGUCUCAAGCGCAGUCACCACCGAGGCUGCCCCACUUCUACCGCUUCUGCUCAAGGCCGAGCAACCUCCGUUAACCUGUAGAAUGAAAUAAAAAGUAUCAAAUUUGGA